AGGACGAACGCUGGCGGCGUGCUUAACACAUGCAAGUCGAGCGGAAAGGCCCUUCGGGGUACUCGAGCGGCGAACGGGUGAGUAACACGUGGGCAACCUGCCCUUAGCUCUGGGAUAGCUCCGGGAAACCGGAAUUAAAUACCGGAUAUGACCUAGGCCGACAUCGGCCGUGGUGGAAAGUUUUUCGGCUAGGGAUGGACUCGCGGCCUAUCAGCUAGUUGUGGGGUAAUGGCCUACCAAGGCGACGACGGGUAG
rnacentral:rRNA from 1 species